rnacentral:lncRNA from 1 species
GCGACUGCUCCCGCGAGGUCAGAGCCGGGCUGUGCCGCUGCCCCCGGGACUAGAAAGGGAAAUCUCCUUGCUAGAGGAGGAAGCCCUAAGAACUCAAGGGAGAUAGGGGUGGCAGGGGCAUUUCCCUGGAUGCCUGGAGCAUGGAGGGUGCGAAAUAAGGAGGCUUUCCUACCCCAUUGAUGAGCUGAAGUUGAUUCCGCACGGGGGAGGAAAGGGACAGGAAGCAUAAUUGGAUGUGCAAGCCUGUGGUUCUUCAGGAAGUUAACACGUGGAACUAACACUGUUGGAUGCUGCUGAACUCUCAGGUGAUUGAUGUGACUAACCUCCUCAGAAAAAUCAUCAUUGACAUCCAACACCAGCACUGGAAUGUUCAUCAGAGCCUCAAAGUGGAGCCUAUAAGAAGCGUGAACGUUUGGGGGACAGAAAAAAAGAAAUGUAACUUGAGUCAAGUUUCACAUACUCGCCAAGUCUUACUCAGAGAACAGAUCUAAAUUCAACAUGACUUUUCAAAGAAACUGCAUGUAAACUGCAUUUAAAAAAACAAAUUCAAUAAAGUUGGCCGGAAACAGAA